AUCUUUGUAGUUUAAAUAAAAUAUUAAAUUGCAAAUUUAAAGAUUUUUUUAAUAAAAAUAAGAUU
rnacentral:tRNA from 1 species